AUUUUUAUAGUGUAUUAUUAACACAUAACAUUUUCAUUGUUAAAAAGCUUAAGCUAAAAAUA
rnacentral:tRNA from 1 species